CAAAGGCAAAGUCAGUCGUUCUGUUAACAGAAAACGAGUGUGAUGCACUUGGGAUCCUCCGCUAUUUGCAGCAGGCAGAAGCUGAAGUUCCCCCAGAACUGCCUGGUUUGACUGCCAAGGUGCUAAAAGAUGAAGAAUACCAGAAAUUGUCAAGGCCACUGUGUACCCAUCUUAAAACAUUUGGGGCUUGCAGAAACAGAACAGUGUGUCUGGAUCGUCGUCAAGUUAAUUUACAAAGAGACGUGCCCCAGCAUAUCCCAGAUACAGUGACACAAACACCUGGAUAUCUGAUGAUUCUGCCUCUCCACGUUGUAAAUGCAACAAACUGCUUUGGUCGAAGAGUAGAUCAGCAGAAGGACCAAUAUACAAUUCUUGCUGAAGGAAUUAAUGGGUAUUUUAAG